AACUGUGGAUGUGGGAGCGCCUUCCUGUUGGCCGGCCGGAGCGUUAUGCUCAUGGAGUUACGCCAUUAUACGAGGGAGAGGCUGUGGCUACAGUGGGUUGGUUAUGGAACAAUAUUGGUACCGUGCAGGGUAAUCCAGGAAGGCGGUACAUAGACUUCAACAAUGCCCUUGAUUGCCUAAAUGCUGCACACGUUGAAUGGCAACCAUACAAUCGCAUGGAGGUGCAAAACAUGAAUCUUAGUCCGCAAUGCAUGAGGGAUAAUGAAUACUGGCGCUCAGUUUGCCCUCUUAUUUGCUAUUACAUUGUUGAGUACCACCUUCCAAAUUGGGUGAUGCGCCAAUUUGAAAUACUUCAGUCUUGUCCGCCUGAGUAUAUUAAUACUAGCCAUGA